AAUGGAUGGAGCACAGGAAAAAAUGCAAGGAACACCACAACUUGUGAUGCAAGGGAGCUCACCAAGAAAAAAAAAUAACUUUACAUGUUUAUAAAACAAAUCUGGGAUCUUGGUUGUGGGGGCUUUUUAUUCUGUAUCAGUCCUGCCCCUAUGUUGGCUGAUGUGUUUAUGCAAAGGCAAGAAGGCCUCCCCUUCCUUCUUAAACCCAGAACAUACCUUACCAGAGACAGACUUCUCUGUUGCAGCACACAGCAACUAAGACCAAUCUGUCCUGUUGCAAUGCAAUUCCUCUGGUCAAUACUCAUUGCCCUGGCUGCCUCCUUCCCAUGUGUCCUCUCACAAGUGGUGCUGACCCAGUCAGAUCCUGUGAUGAAGAAACCUGGAGAAUCCCAUAAGAUGACCUGUGCCACCAGUGGAUUCACUCUUAGCAGCACCUGGAUGGGCUGGGUGAGACAGAAAGCAGGCAAAGGAUUGGAAUGGCUUGUUUGGUAUUAUAGUACUGGGAACAAGCACUAUUCCCCUACAAUCCAAGGGCGAUUCACAGCCUCUAAGGACACCACCAACUUCUAUCUGCAAAUGAACAACCUCAAAGUAGAUGACACUGGAGUCUAUUACUGUGCAAGAGACACAGUGAAAGGGAUCCCAGCAGACCUCUGACAAAAUCCCUUGGCUGCUUGCACUGAUUAGAAAGUCACCAGAGGGGGCAGAGGAAAUCCACAAAUGAGAGACUUGUAAUGCAGAAGAGAUACACCAAAGGAAGUCAAGAUUCUUCAUUUUAUUAAUCUUAUUUUACUUUGUUUCAGGAGUUCAUGUGUGAAUCAUUUGGGCCGAAAUGGUGGGACAAAAUAAAAAGAGAUUGUUAUAAACCCUUCUGAGAAGUAAUCAGAAGUAAACGGGUAAUAGUGGGAAGAAUUUCA